UACGUAGGGGGCAAGCGUUGUCCGGAUUUAUUGGGCGUAAAGAGCGUGUAGGCGGCUUUACAGGUCCGUUGUGAAAACUCGAGGCUCAACCUCGAGACGCCGAUGGAAACCGUCUGGCUAGAGUCCGGAAGAGGAGAGUGGAAUUCCUGGUGUAGCGGUGAAAUGCGCAGAUAUCAGGAAGAACACCCGUGGCGAAGGCGGCUCUCUGGGACGGUACUGACGCUGAGACGCGAAAGCGUGGGGAGCGAACAGG
rnacentral:rRNA from 1 species